GACGAACCGUGCGAACGUUGUUCGGAAUCACUGGGCUUAAAGGGCGCGUAGGCGGCAUUUCAAGUCCGGGGUGAAAGCCCCCAGCUCAACUGGGGAAGUGCCUUGGAUAUUGGAGUGCUCGAGGGAGGUAGGGGUCGAGGGAACUUCUGGUGGAGCGGUGAAAUGCGUUGAUAUCAGAAGGAACGCCGGUGGCGAAAGCGCUCGACUGGACCUCUUCUGACGCUGAGGCGCGAAAGCCAGGGGAGCAAACGGG
rnacentral:rRNA from 1 species